GAUUAACUACUACUCAUAUAGGAAAAUUGAAACGAUACAGAGAAGAUUAGCAUGCCCCUUCACGAGGAUGACAUAAAAAUUCAUAAAGUUUUCUUUAAAGUA
rfam:Ornithorhynchus anatinus chromosome 6, whole genome shotgun sequence.